rnacentral:rRNA from 1 species
UGUUACCUUGUUACGACUUCACCCCAGUCAUUAGCCCCACCUUCGGCGUCCUCCUCCACAAGGGUUGGAGUGACGACUUCGGGCAUGGCCAACUUCCAUGGUGUGACGGGCGGUGUGUACAAGGCCCGGGAACGUAUUCACCGCAGUAUGCUGACCUGCGAUUACUAGCGAUUCCUACUUCACGUAGGCGAGUUGCAGCCUACGAUCUGAACUGAGCCACGGUUUAUGGGAUUUGCUAGCUCUCGCGAGUUUGCUGCCCUUUGUCCGUAGCAUUGUAGUACGUGUGUAGCCCAGGGUGUAAGGGGCAUGAUGACUUGACGUCAUCCACACCUUCCUCCGGUUUAUCACCGGCGGUCUUUCUAGAGUGCCCAACUAAAUGCUGGCAACUAAAAACGUGGGUUGCGCUCGUUGCGGGACUUAACCCAACAUCUCACGACACGAGCUGACGACAGCCAUGCACCACCUGUCACUGCAUUCCCG